rnacentral:sRNA from 1 species
AUAAAAGUCACAACGGAAUAAAACCGUUGGUUUCACGCGGUCAAAGUCUUGGGAGGAUGGAUCCAGGCGCGAAUUUCCGCGGCCGCCAGGAAACUGGAAAAGGGUCGAACGCGUAUUGAACUGGCAAGGCGCAAGCCUUGCUUUUUUUU